CCCCCUCCCCCCAUACACAGACACGCCCCUCAAGAUAUGUGGGCUAUUCAAUGAAUGAAUUGUUCAUCUCCGGUGAAUAUACAUGAUUCAAAUCUAAAUUUACAAUAUCAAAAUCCAGACUAAUAAAAAAGAAAAGUAGACUCAGAGAAGUGACGAGUAAGAAAAAUGGUUAAUAUUUCUGUUUACACAUUUUGUUCAGACUGUUUUACACCAAUCCAGUCGGUGGCGGUAAUGCCCCCAUUUCUGUUGGUAGCUAGCCUAAUCGCCUAUUACAUAGGAACAAAGAAGAAUCAGAAGAAUAGCGAAAAUGGGUAAAAAAGAAGACAAGGAACGUAAACGAAAGAAGUCGGCGGCAACAUUGUCCCAAAACAUUGGUGACUUAUUCCAGAAAAGGACCAAAAUCGUGGAGAGAUAGACAAUAAAGGACAGCAACAACAGACAGACAGAACAACAACAGAGACAGACAAUGGAGGGCAGCAACAGACAGGCAAUGGAAGAAAGCAACAGACAACUGAGUGGGGAGCAACAGACAAAAAAUGAAGGACAGCAACAACAGACUCACAACAAACUUGACGAUGAAUAAAAUAUGUCUAAAUUAAAAGAUUUGAAGUGUGCUGGUGUAUUUAGGGGGCAUUGGAGUAGGGAGCCAAAUGAAGUCCACUUUCGGGGGGAAAAGAUCCCCCCCCACCACAAUGCUGGCU